rnacentral:rRNA from 1 species
AUGUUCAUUUUGCCACAUCGCUUCAUUGAAAUCUCCAACCAUGAACCAAGGACCAGAACCCAUAGGCUUAAUUCUCUGCAAAAGUUCCCACAUGACGUACCUUUGACUAGCCUUAGGCUCUCCAUAGAUAAAGGUGCUUCUCCACUUGUGGUCGAUGCUCUUGCUUCGAUCCUAGAUUUGGCCAAAUGAGCCGGUCACAUUCGGGGGUUUUGCCCCCAUCUUGUGGCCAAUGAAGGUCUGACCCACCUCCAAUAUGCGGAUGAUACCAUUAUGAUGGUGGAAGGAUCGGACGAGGAUAUUCAGAACCUCAAGUUCCUCCUCCUCUGCUUUCAGGAGAUGUCGGGUCUCACGAUCAAUUUCGCCAAGAGUGAGGUGAUGGUCCUGGGAUACUCCCAGGCGGAAGCUCAGCGAAUCGCCAAUCGCUUGAAUUGUCGAUUGGGGUCCUUCCCGACUACUUACCUUGGCAUGCCAAUUAGUGACACGCGUCUACUGGAGAAGGACUUUCGCCCAAUAAUCGUCAAGCUCCAGCCUAGGAUGGAGCCUUGGCAGGGGAGAUGGCUUUCUAAAGCCGCUCGAGUCAUUUUGAUGAAAUCCUCCCUUAUUAGCCUUUUGAUGUACAUAAUGGGAUUCUAUAGUUUACAUGAAUCCCUUCAUCAUGAGGUCACCAAACUCCUUUCCAGAUUCUUCUGGGCGGGAGAAAACAAUAAA